UUGGAGGGCAAGUCUGGUGCCAGCAGCCGCGGUAAUUCCAGCUCCAAUAGCGUAUAUUAAAGUUGUUGCAGUUAAAAAGCUCGUAGUUGAAUUCCGGGGUCAGUAGGUUGGUCAUGCCACUGGUAUGUACUGGUCUCACUGAUUCCUCCUUCCUGAUGAACUGUAGUGCCAUUAAUUUGGUGUUGCAGGGAAUCUGGACUGUUACUUUGAAAAAAUUAGAGUGUUUAAAGCAGGCUAACGCCUGAAUACAUUAGCAUGGAAUAAUGAAAUAGGACGUUCGAUCCUAUUUUGUUGGUUUCUAGGAUUGACGUAAUGAUUAAUAGGGAUAGUUGGGGGCAUUAGUAUUCAAUUGUCAGAGGUGAAAUUCUUGGAUUUAUUGAAGACUAACUACUGCGAAAGCAUUUGCCAAGGAUGUUUUCAUUAAUCAAGAACGAAAGUUAGGGGAUCGAAGACGAUCAGAUACCGUCGUAGUCUUAACCAUAAACUAUGCCGACUAGGGAUCGGAUGAUGUUAAUUUUUUAAUGACUCAUUCGGCGCCUUACGGGAAACCAAAGUGUUUGGGUUC
rnacentral:rRNA from 1 species